CGCUCCGGAGAAGUCCACUCACAUGGGUGCCGAAGGUGAAAGCCGGGACAGUGUUCAGCCGUAGCUGACAUAGUCACGACGAAUCUCUCAGGCAAAAGGACGGAGUC
rnacentral:ncRNA from 1 species